UCACAGUCCAUGUUGCGGUGGUGGGCACCCACAAUCCUGAGAGCAAGAUGGCGCCCCUGCUUACUCAGAAAACAUCCCAUUGAUUUCAGGGGCAAUUAUUCCCCAGGAAGCAUGCAUAGGAUCAGGUCAGGGAUUGUUUAGUUGUGAUUCCUGCAUUGAAGACAACUGAAGACAAUUGGGCUAGAUGACUCUUGGGGUCCCAUACAAUUCCACAGUUAUAUUAUAUGACAACAUGGCAGUUUAUUCCAUUUUCAUUACAUUUCCCUAGCUAUUAAUUUCCACGUUACAAAUGAACUUCCAAACAAUGUAAAAGCUAGCUCUGGAACUAUGGUGGCAUAUUGUGGAACUAUUGUGGAAUAUAACACAUUAUUUGCAAAUGGAUUUUCCCCUGGAAGCAAAUAACAUGGAAAAGAGCAGCCAAAUUGCGCAGCAUCCCACUAAAAUUCCAGAAGAGGUUUUUAGAUUGCAUGAAAGCUCAAACAAUAAUGUGGAACUUAACAGUUAGGGAAAAGUUGUGAAAACAGAAUAAACUGCCAUGUGACUGCAGCCAGAGUCUGCUAUUUUGAGUCUGAAAAGCCUGGGCAAAUAUACACACACAAACACAACAUCUGAAGCAACUGAUGGCUGCUGUUGUACGUAUGGCAGAAAGAAGGGCAUUUCAUAGUAAGAAGAAGAAGAGGAGUUUGGAUUUGAUAUCCCGCCUUUCACUCCCUUUAAGGAGUCUCAAAGUGGCUAACAUUCUCCUUUCCCUUCCUCCCCCACAACAAACACUCUGUGAGGUGAGUGGGGCUGAGAGACUUCAAAGAAGUGUGACUAGCCCAAGGUCACCCAGCAGCUGCCUGUGGAGGAGCGGAGACAUGAACCCGGUUCACCAGAUUACGAGUCCACUGCUCUUAACCACUACACCACACUGGCUCUCUAGUAGAGGUGCAAUGGAAAGAAGAUGCCUGCUACUGAACCUUAAAUGGACCGCCAGGAAUGGCUGAAAGACCGAAGUUGUCUGGGUGGAUCACAUCUUGUGCAGAUCUGUUCCAGAAGAUCUCCACUCCAGAGGAGGAAACAUUCCAGAGCAUCACAGCUACUGCAGAGCUAUAUGCUCUUGUUCGAAAGUGUGAUAGCAGUUGCCUGCAUCUCUCUGCAGGCAGUGCUGGAAAGAACUAUUCAACUGACAGCUAAUUGUUGCCACUGACUGCUGCUCUGACAAUGUGGUCAUAGCGAACUCUGUUUCCUUGAGAGCAGCUGAAUGAGGAGAAAUGACAUAAGGUGGCGUCCCCUCAAUCCCUUGUUGUUGGAUAUUACAUGUAUAGCAGAUGCGUCGUGUCGUGUAGGUUCACUGCUGUCAUUCUGGCUCAGAUCUUUUGCCACAAACAAAUAACACAAGCCCACAAAAAGACAACAUCAUCCUCCGUAAGACAGGUCGGUGAUAAGAAGGCAAGCUCAGAGAAGUGGAAAUGUUUGCUUUGCCAUCGAUUGGGCUUGGCAGAGGGGCUGGUCACCUGCUCUGCAGCAGGGCUAGACCAAAUGUAGAAUGGUAGAGUAGCAAGGCUUUCUGAUUCAAAUUUGUUUGACAGUAACAGCAACCCGCCUCCCUAAAUUAGUUUGCUGAAAUGGAAAAAGUGCGAGGAUGUGUGUGUGAGGCAAAUAUAUCAUUUUCAGUUUCUCAUUGUUCCAAUCUUAAGUUCAGUUCUCGUGAAAAUGCAUAAGCUUUUUUUGUGUGCGAAAAUUUUUCCUAGUGUACACAUAUGCAUUUUUUGCCUAAUGUAAUGCAUUUUUACAUGCUGUUUUCACUAACCUAUGCAUCUACAUACUCAUGGUAGCAUAGCACAAUCCUUUUUUUGCCACCAUAUUUGGCUGGAAAACUCCAUUGCAAUGUGAAUUUUGAGGGACGCCUGUGUUUUGGUUUGUGUGUCAUUUCAGAAAGUGCAAAUUAAGUAAGGUUGCCUUUAAAUGCGAACUGAAUCAAAUUUCUUCCCCGUUGCUUGUGAGAGCCAGGAGUAGCUUUUUCUGUGAAAGGGCAGUGAACUCAGGAAAUAAAUUCCUAAGAUGACCAUGUAUUUGAGAGGCAUGCUGUUGUUUAACCUUAACAGUGCAAUCCUAAUGCAUGUCUAGUCGAAAGUAAGUGCUAUUUAAUUUAAUGGGAUCUACUCCCCAGUGGUGUGCAUAGGCUUGCAACCUAUUGAUUUUAUUUAUUUGGACAUUUAUUGACUUCCCAUUAAUAGUGCCCUCUGACAGUUUAUACAAAAUUCAGAAACAAUCUUGCAGUCCCUUUAAAGACUAACAAAUUUAUGGUGGAAUGAAUAAUAUUUUUAUAUAUUUAAUGUCUUAUUGAAGCACAAUGUCUGUUACUGACAACCCAAAAGUAUGGUUGCAGGGUACAAAUACUAUGACAUUCAUUUGUCUUUAAGGCGCCUCAAGGCUCCUUGAUUGUUUUUGCUGCAAGAAACCGACAUGUAUACUCUUCUGGAUUUUCUUUUUCUUUUGCAAAACUCAAACCACAUCAACAAAGGCAAAACAGAAAAAUCAAUGCAACGUCCAUAUUUUUUAAAAAACAGCAUUAGCUGUUCAAGAUCAUUCCAAAAACAAGAACUAAAACCAGGCUGCACAUAAUUUGUUCCAAGGACUGAAGUAUGGUUCUAAAAGGCCUGCGGUAAUCUUCACUUAGCACUGAAAAAUCUUAAUAUUGGUGCCAAGUGAGCUGUAGGGGGAGGGUAUUCCAUAAUUAGGACACCACAACUGAAGAAGGCCCUCACUCUAAGGCCAAGCCGCCUCACCAGUUAGGCAGGAGAACCUGUAGAAGGGCCUCCAAGGAAGAUCUGACAAUCUAGGCUGGUAUAUUCAGGAGGACACGAUCCUUUGCAUGUACAUCCACACACCCUGAACCACCAUUUUGCACUUCCCUGUAGCUGAUGGGCUGCAAUGAUCCAGUACAAAAACAAAGUGCAAAAACCUAAGGUCUUCCCACCUCCGCCCUACAGCCAUCUGAAAGAGCAAAUAGGGGAGAGAAGGAAUCAAACAAAUGAUUUGAAGCCGCCACCUUGUGAUUGUUGUUUGUCAGGCGUAAAUUGAAAAAAAAUGAAUUAUUUGAGAUUCAAUUAAUAUUCACGUCUUGGCUGUCACGGAGAUUUAAUUCUCUAGGUUCCAGGCAUCUUUUCUGAAAAUAAUAAUUUCCCCUGCUGAUUAUUAUCUUGCUUCAACUUGUCUAAUUUCUUGCUCUGCUGAAGAAGAAAAUUGGGGGAACCAUUUAUUGCCUAGUCAAUCUGGUGUAGCUAAAACAAUUAACAUUGAAGCGAUUAAGUUAAUUUCCCCACAACAGCACCGGAUACUUUGUUUGUAGCACCCAGCCCCAUCUCCUUUAAAUCACAUCUGUGGGGACAAAAGGACAAUGCGAUGGAAAUAUUAUUAGAUCUUGGUGGGCUUUGGUUUUUUUUUUAGGGUGAAAUUAACAAGUAAGGGCACAUGCUGUGUGAGAAACCUCAUUGCAUCAGGGAUGCAUGGCAAUUAAAGGACAGCCGUUUCACUUUUAUAGACUCACUGGGCCUUUCAGAGUUUACAGCUAAUUAUAUAUUUUUGCUGGCAAGUAUCAUGGAGUAGGCAGUUAGUGUUGGUUCUGUACAGUGUGGAUUACAGUUCUGCUCCGAGACAUGGUAUAGUAAUACAAAAAGCUUUUCUUGAGAAAUCUAUUUCCUUAAGCUCAUUACUCUGUAGCUGGGGGACCUUUUUCAGUCUGAGGGGCAAAUUGCUUUCUGGAGUCCAAAAUGCCAGUGCUGAGUGGGGCCAGAGGAAAAACGGGUGGAGCCGUGAAUGCAAAUUUUACUUUUGGACAGUCCACGAGUUUCUACAGACACUCCCAUCCGCCUCUCUAUUUCCCCCUCCAUUAUUAUCAGAGUUCAAGGACACUUUCCAGCCAGGUAAAGAUUCUUGAGGAAGGUCAGAAGUAGAACCAGAAGGGAUUGUGGCCUGGCCUUGGGGGAUUCCCAAAGGUUAGACAGAAAAGCUUGGAGAACCACAAUUGCCCCUCCCUCCAGGUCUAAGGUUCCUCAUGGAAGGAUGGAAGGACUCAGCAUGUGGCAACUGAGCCAGUGUGGUGUAGUGGUUAGGAGCGAUAGACUCGUAAUCUGGUGAACCGGGUUCGCGUCUCUGCUCCUUCACAUGCAGCUGCUGGGUGACCUUGCGCCAGUCACACUUCUUUGAAGUCUCUCAGCCUCACUCACCUCACAGAGUGUUUGUUGUGGGGGAGGAAGGGAAAGGAGAAUGUUAGCCGCUUGAGACUCCUUCGGGUAGUGAUAAAGCGGGAUAUCAAAUCCAAACUCCUCCUCCUCCUCCUCUUCCUCCUCUUCUUCUUCUUCUUCUUCUUCUUCUUCUUCUUCUUCUUCUUCUUCAUGGUGGAUCCCAUGCUAGGAAUCAUUAGGAAAGGGAUAGGAGAUAAAACUGCCCAUACUGCAAUUCCAUUGUGCAAAUCUUGGAAGACUGUGUACAGUUCUGGUCAGAUCCCCUUAAGAAAGGAUAUUGGAGAAUUUGCAGAAAAGGGCAACCAAAAUGAAAGAGGAAAUGAGGAAAGGCUGCCACACUUGGAGCUUUUCAGUUUAGAGUAGGGUUUCCCAAACCUGGGUCUCCAGCUAUUUUUGGACUACAACUCCCAUCAUCCCUAGCUAGCAGGACCAGUGGUCAGGGAUUAUGGGAACUGUAGUUUGGGAAACCCUGGUUUAGAGGAAAGGUGAGUAAAAAGGGACACGAUAGAAGUUUAUAAAAUUAUGUGUGGUGCAGAGAAAGCAGCUGAAGAAUGUUUUUCUCCUUUUCUUAUGAUGCGGGAACUUGUGGACAUGCAAUGAAGCUGAAUGUUGGAGGAUUCGAGACAGGCAAAAGAAAGUCCUUCUUCACACGACGCAUAGUUAAGCUAUGGGAUUUGCUCCGUAAGAGGCAAUGAUGGCCACCAACUUGGAUGGGUUUAAAAGAGGAUUAGACAAAUUCGUGGAGGAUAAAUCAGUGGCUACUAAUGUACCUCCGGAGUCUUUUAUGUUCUGCCUCCACAGUUGCAAGCACUAUGCCUCUGAUUACCAGAUGCUGAAACUGCAGGAGGGGAGAACGCUGUUGGAUUCCGAUCCUGCCUGCCUGCCUGCAUCUGGUUGGGCACUGUGAGAGCAUCAGGCUGGACUCGAUGGGCCACUGGGGUGAUCCAACAGAGCUCUCUACUUGUGUUCUGUAGGGCAGCUGAGAGAAGGCCAGUCUGUGCUUUACAACGGAGCAGCACAAUUUAUAAUCCGCUAAGCUGAUUAAUAAUAAUAAUUUAAUAAUAAUUUAUUAUUUAUACCCCGCCCAUCUGGCUAGGUUCCCCCAGCCACCCACUCUGGGUGGCUUCCAACACAAUAUUAAAAUACAGUAGUCUAUUAAACAUUAAAAGCUUUCCUAAACAGGGCUGCCUUCAGAAGUCUUCUAAAAGUCUGGUAGUUGUUGUUCUCCUUGACAUCUGGUGGGAGGGUGUUCCACAGGGCGGGUGCCACUACCGAGAAGGCCCUCUGCCUGGUUCCCUGUACUUGGCUUCUCACUGUGAGGGAACCGCCAGAAGGCCUUCAGCGCUGGACCUCAGUGUCUGGGCACACGAUGGGGGUGGAGAUGCUCCUUCAGGUAUACUGGGCUGAGGCCAUUUAGGGCUUUAAAGGUCAGCACCAACACUUUGAAUUGUGCUUGGAAAUGUUCUGGGAGCCAAUGUAGGUCUUUCAAGACCGGUGUUAUGUGGUUUCGGCAGCCGCUCCCAGUCACCAGUCUAGCUGCCGCAUUCUGGAUUAGUUGUAGUUUCCGGGUCACCUUCAAAGGUAGCCCCACACAGUGCGCAUUGCAGUAGUCCAAGCGAGAGAUAACCAGAGCAUGUACCACUCUGGCGAGACAGUCUGUGGGCAGGUAGGGUCUCAGCCUGCUGUACCAGAUGGAGUUGGUAGACAGCUGCCCUGGACACAGAAUUGACCUGCGCCUCCAUGGACAGCUGUGAGUCCAAAAUGACUCCCAGGCUGCGCAGCUGGUUCUUCAGGUUCUUCAGUUACCCCAUUCAGGACCAGGGAGUCCUCCACACCCGCCCACCUCCUGUCCCCCAAAACAGUACUUCUGUCUUGUCAGGAUUCAGCCUCAAUCUGUUAGCCGGCAUCCAUCCUACAGCCUACCACCCAUAUAUUGAGGUCUUCUAGAUGCUUGACAACACUCCCCUCCCCAUCCAGCAUCUCGGCCAUGAUACAUAAACCGUGUUUGGCUUGAUGGGCUACAAGUCACGCAGGCUUGCUUUGCUGCAAGACAUGGCCUGGUUAAUUCAAAAGUGCAUGCAAUUACAGAGCUCUUUUUUUAUUGCUUUAAGCCACACGCACAGGGCACUCUCUUACGGCUUUGAUGUUUAACCUAAUUUCCAUCCAUCUUUUAUUUAGAGUUCAGAGCAGCAGAGCUCAACUGACUUAAGGAUGAUGAACAAUAAACAGUCACUUUUGCUCUGCCGAGCAAAACCUUGAGCCAAAAAGUGCCUUGAUCAUUAAAACAGCGUGGAGAAAUGUUGGCCUCUUCUGCAAAUCUCACCUUGGUUCUAGAUCUUAUGGGUAGCCUUGGGCAAGUCUGUUCCUCCUAAGUUCACUUCCACAUCUGGCAGGUACAAACAAAAGUUGUAAGUAACGAUCAAGAGAUUUUUGUAAGUCACUUAGAGAAUUUUUUCUUCUGUGUUAAGCAACUAACAAGUUAAAUUUUCUUAUUAAGAAUAAUAAUAGUUUUGCUUGCUCCUUUUUCUGCUCCUUGCAAUAACGUUAUGGACAUCCAAGAGUUUGGUGAGCAACUGACAGCUUAAUGAAUGCAGAGUGGCAAUUUUGUGAGAAGCAGAUUUUUUUGCUGGCUGGCGUAGCUGGUGCGAAGUUCUGAAAUGAAGCUGUACGUAGGAGUUCUGCCUACUGGUUCUUCCCAUAUAAGCUGCACUGAAAAUAUUGGCGCAUUGUUUUAAAAAUAAACGGCACUCAAAGCAUUCCAGAAUCAAAUAAGGACCUAGCGUGGGCAGAACCUCAUGUUGUAUUAGAAGUGAUGAACUACAUCUCCGCUGAUGUGUCAUUUAAGUGGUGGAGGUGACGCGAGAUAAUCCACAACAAACAAUGCAAAAUGUCUGCUUCACCUGGAAGGGAAAAGCUUUUGCAGCCUGAGGGCCACAUUCCAGCAUGGAGAACCAGCUGGGGCCACAUGGCGGUGUUGGGCGAGACCACAGGGGGGACGUGGGUGGAGCAAUGGAUGUGAAGACUCUUACUUCCAUACAGUAGACUACAUGCACUGUCUUUUGUGUCUUGAAUCUUCCAGUGUUAAGCUUCACUGGAUGGUCCCAGGUUCUAGUAUUAUGGAGAGGGUGAAAAAACUACCUCUGCCCCCUUAAGCCACACCAUAUGUAAUAUUGUUAUAGAAGCUGGGUGCCACCCCCACUCUCUAGGGGUAGCAAGACUCCAGGAGGUUCCAGGUGCUCACCCAGGGUUUGUGCUCCUUCGGAGAAUUAAAGAUGCGGCAGAGACUGUCGUAGUUUUAAGAAAUAUGAUUUGUUCACAUAUUUAGACCUUCAGUUUGCAUGGAGGGAGUCCUGAUCUUACUGCAUUGUCACCCCAAGAAGAACUAGUUCCCAUAGCAGGGCAGCACUGGAACUGAAGGCAUCUCUCCCAGCCAGCCUUCAGCCAGCCUGCCCAAAAUGGAACUCCCCAUGUUCUCUCUCCCUCCCAGCACACCUUGCUACAGACCUUCUUUGCCUGUGACUUCACACCCAGUUACCCUGGUAACCUUCUGUCUGCUCAGGUCCAAGAUGGGCCAUCAACACCUUUUGUCAUGUUAAUCCAUCUAUCCCUGGUGAUGUUCUGGCAUGGAAAGGAAGCUAAGCUUGUAUUUUUCUACUGGCGUGCAGUCUUCCCUCCAAAUAAUCAAAAUCCUACCAUUUAUUAAUUUCUAGGGUUUAGGAGGGUCUCCCCAAUCUAUAACACCAUUAUACUUCAUGCCACCCCCUACUCACUGCCCCCCCAACCAAACAGCCCCAUAUGUUGUAACCUUCCCUGGAGUUGCUCCAGCCCCAAUUCCUUCAGCUGAUCAUUUUGGCCGCAGCUUCCUAGCUCUGUGAUAUUAUUUUUCAUGUCAGGCUACCCAAGCUGCCCACACAGUAUUCCAAGCACGGUGGCACAGUAGAUUUGUACAGCGGCAUUGUGAUAUUGGCAGUUCUAUUUGCAAUCUCUUUCCUAAUGAUCCUUAACGCGGAAUUUGCCUUUUUUCACAGCUGCUGCACACGGGCUCGACAUCUUCAUGAAAACUCAUGAAAAAGAGCAUCUGAUGCCGUUUCUGUGCGUGCGAUAGCAGCAAAUAAUCAUGUGAGUUCUAAAGGCUGAAGGGGAGAGGGAAUCUGACACCCUCCCUCUUGCUGCAUUAAAGCAGAAAAGGCCUUGGACUUUACAUGCUUGGGCACAAAUUGUGUGUGGAAAUGUUUUAAGGCAGCGAACCUCUGCUCUUUGCAGAAGAGGAUUGUUGUCAUGAAGUUCCACAGCACAUUCUCCCCCUGCCCUGGAAACUAUAUGUGCGAGACGAUCAUAAAAAUCAUGCCAAAAUAAUACAAUUUUGUAUCGAUUGGAGACAAUCGAUAUGCUGUUCACUGUCCAUUUCCAUAGAGAUGCAAUAUUCACUUUCUAUUGCCCAGUGGCGAAGCUGCAUGCUCCGCUACCGGGGGCGGAGAGCAGGUGGGGGCGUAGCUGGUGCCCGCGGGGGCAAUGUGUGCCGCCUGCGGGGGCAUGGUGCGGAUCCCAGGGCAUGGUAUGCCACCUGCGAGGGCAUGGUGCACAGCCCGCAGGGGCGUGGGGCGUGUUCUGGGGGUGUGACGCGCUGCCUGUGGGGCCAUGGGGCCCGGCAUUCAGGGGUGUGCGCAGCUUGUGUCUGGGGGGGCCGCCACGAUGGCACCAGAAUAGUGGUGCUGGGGGCAGUCCGCUCCCUUCGCACCCCUGUUUUCCGCCAGUGCUAUUGCCUCAGUGAUGUGUGGUGUUUUAGGCAUUACGCAGAAAGGCAAGUCAAUUGUGUUUUUUUUUAAAAAAGAUAAAAAUAAAAUAAGCUUCACAAGGGAAUUCCAUGCAAGCAAAUAGCAUCUUCAAAGGAGGAAUUUCCCUCAGGAUCACAGCGGGAGAGGAAAGUGUUAAAUCCCUCCUUCCUGCUUUCUGUGAUUCUGAUCAUUGCCAGUGCCUUCCAUUGGAUUCUAUUUGCAUUUUUAAAAGAUGCAUGUUAAAUGCAAAGACACAUUUAACAUUGCAUCUGGUUUCACCCUCAUUCACACAGUCCAGACACUCACACAGGACAUUCACCACCUUCACUGGUUCUGAUAUAAGUGGAAUAUAAAUUAAUAAACAAACCAUAAAAUUCACUGGGACACAUUGUUUGCACACGCCUUGAACUUUUCUUAAGGAGGGAUCUCUGAGCUCAUUCCAAGCAGACAAAGCAAAAGCAACCUGCUGGUGGUUAGAAGGAAAUCAAAACAUGGACCUAUAUCUGACCAAAGAUCAUAGUUUUUCUAGCUUCUUAGAUCUGAAGCAGCCUCGGCCUUGGCCCAGUACACCUGAAGAAGCCACCCCCAUUGUUCAGCUCGGACAGGGAACCAAGCAUAGGGCCUUCUCGGUUGUGGCACCUGCCCUGUGGAACGCCCUCCUAUCAGAUAAACAACUGUCUGACUAUUAGAAGGCAUCUGAAGUUAGCUCUGUAUAGGGAAAUUUUUUAAUGUCUGAUGUUUUACCUUUUUUUAUGUGCUGUAAGCCACCCAGAAUGGCUGUGGAAACCUAGUCAGAUGGGUGGAGUAGUAAUAAUAAUAAUAAUAAUAAUAAUAAUAAUAAUAUUCCAGCCUGAUGUCUCUCAGAUUUUUUUUGGACUCCCAUCACCUCUGACCAUUGACUAUGCUGGAUGUUGAGAGGUGUAUUCCAAAUGCAUCCGAAGGGCUUCAGGUUGGAUUAAAAACAAACUUGACUUCAACUUGCUCCACUCUUUGGGAAAAGGAAAUGUUAGUACUUCCUUAGCAAGCUUUGUUUGUUGCCAUAACAGACUUUACAGACGAGUUGCUGGGGCUGUUAUGCAAGUACGGGUUAUUGCCCAAAGAGCUAACAAAUGGUUGUAAUUAUAUCUAUUCUGUAGCUUCCCAGCGGUGGCUCUGACAGUACGGGCAGCUUUUUCUGCACAUCAAGUACUCCAGUUCUGUCCCGCCCCCUUUAUUAUACAUCGUGAGAGCCUUUACACCCAGCGAUUUCCAUGGUCAUCCAAGGAAUUUGUGGGAGGCACUUUUUGCUGAACGCUCCUGUUGCUGCCGGCGAGCCGCUUGCAAAAUAAAUAAAUAAAUUGACAGGCUUUUAUUAUAGCCGCGUGUAAAUAGCAUGAUUCCUCCAGCAAAUUAUAGUGUGCGCUCUCAAAUUUCCUUCUGGUCUCGCAGAGCCCUUGUUGAGGAUGCGUUUCUCCUAACCGCCCCCCCCCACUUCAUGACGACGGAGUUUCAACGUUGGAAGGCUCAAGCAGCUUGCAAGUGAAGGAAAGAGGAAAAGGCAGGAUCGGGGCAGGAUUGACUUAUCAUGUGGAAAGGCUGAUGUGCGCCAAACCCGGAAAACUAUAAACAGGACAUCCUGUGAACAGCAGCCCAUGAGAAAAUUCUGCUCCAUACAAUGCACAAAAAGUUAAGAGGUUUGAAUUGCCUUUUUGGAACCCUUCACCCAUGACCAGAAGAAGUAGGAGAAGUCACAAAGCAGGGAUAGAAGCUUCUCCAACGAAAGAAAGUGGAAAUAGAAACAGAAACAACAAGAUCCUCGCUCAUCACUAUAUCAUAACAUGGUAGCUUUUCAUGUA